UUGGGCUGAUUUGACAGGAGAAGUCUCUCCCAAUGCUAAGCUACGGAGGCUGGGAUUUAAGCCUCCAUAAGGAGCCUCUUGACCAACUCUGUUUCUCAUGUUUCACCUGCCUGAGUCGGGGCAGGAGCCUUCUGCAUGACGCAGCCUCAUUGGCAGAACAACCAUCUCAGCCUGCUCUGUCCAAAUUGAAGAGCAAGAAAUGCCAGUCAAUUUACCAGCUACAUUCAGAUUGCCUGAGAAUCCUGACUUUAUCAUUCACAGUAUGACCUUGGAUGAAUCAGAGGAGUUAAGAGGAAGCAAGAAGCAGAGUAAAACAGAUGCUCAGAGAAAAUCAGAGAGAGAGAGAGAGAGGAAGAGAGAGAGAGAGAUCAAGAACAAGCACAAACUUGUAGCCUCUGUGAAAGGUUGUCCAGGUUCCUGGCCACUUUCCACCUUCCAGUUCCAGUCCCCAGGAGUCCUGGCUGUACUUUGGCUUCUGUCCUUUGAUUUCAGUA